GACGAACGCUGGCGGCGUGCCUAAUACAUGCAAGUAGAACGCACAGUUUAUACCGUAGCUUGCUACACCAUAGACUGUGAGUUGCGAACGGGUGAGUAACGCGUAGGUAACCUGCCUGGUAGCGGGGGAUAACUAUUGGAAACGAUAGCUAAUACCGCAUAAUAUUAAUUAUUGCAUGAUAAUUAAUUGAAAGGUGCAAUUGCACCACUACCAGAUGGACCUGCGUUGUAUUAGCUAGUAGGUGAGGUAACGGCUCACCUAGGCGACGAUACAUAGCCGACCUGCGAGGGUGAGCGGACACACUGGGACUGAGGCACGGCCCAGACUCCUACGGGAGGCAGCAGUAGGGAAUCUUCGGCAAUGGACGAAAGUCUGACCGAGCAACGCCGCGUGAGUGAAGAAGGUUUUCGGAUCGUAAAGCUCUGUUGUAAGAGAAGAACGGGUGUGAGAGUGGAAAGUUCACACUGUGACGGUAUCUUACCAGAAAGGGACGGCUAACUACGUG
rnacentral:rRNA from 1 species